rnacentral:ncRNA from 1 species
AAUAAAUUUUUUAUGGUUUUAAGAAUUUAUUUUAAGUUUAUUUUACAUAUAAAUUUUAGUGUUAAUUUUUAAUUAUUUUAAUAAUAAUUAAUUAAUUUGGUAGUAAUUAAUAUUAAAAAUUUAAGAAAUUAAGAUUUAGUAAUAUACAAAUUUAUAACUAAUUUUGUGCCAGCAGUUGCGGUUAAACAAAAAUUAAAUUAAAUUUUAUUAGUGAUUAAUUAAUAAUUAAGAUAUUAAUAAUUAAAAUUUUAAAUUAUUAGGUGAAAUUUUAAUUUAAUUAAAAUUUAUUUUUAAAUUGUGAAUUUAAUAAAUUUUAAUUUAUAAACUAGGAUUAGAUACCCUAUUAUUAAAAAUUUAAAUUAAAAUACUAAAAUAGUAAAUAAUUAUUUAUUGAAACUUAAAUAAUUUGGCGGUAUAUUAGUUCAUUUAGAGGAAUCUGUUUAAUAAUUGAUAGUCCACGAUUAAAUUUACUUAAAAUAUUAAUUUGUAUAUCGUUGUUAAAAAAAUAUUUUUUGAUAAUUUAAUAAUAUUUAAAAAUUUAAAAAAUAAAUUAAAUCAAAUCAAGAUGCAGUUUAUAUUUAAGAAUAUAAUGGAUUACAAUAAAUUUAUUUAAAUAGAUAUUAAUUUUUAAUAAUUAAUUGAAAGUGGAUUUAAAUGUAAUUUUAUUUAGUUUAAUAAAAUGAUUAAUAAUUAAUAUAUGUACAUAUUGCCCGUCACUUUCAUUUAUAAAUUGAAAUAAGUCGUAACAAAGUAGAGGUACUGGAAAGUGUUUCUAGAAAGAU